AACGAACGCUGGCGGCAUGCCUAACACAUGCAAGUCGAACGAAGGCUUCGGCCUUAGUGGCGCACGGGUGCGUAACGCGUGGGAAUCUGCCCUUUGGUUCGGAAUAACAGCUGGAAACGGCUGCUAAUACCGGUUGAUGACGAAAGUCCAAAGAUUUAUCGCCAGAGGAUGAGCCCGCGUUGGAUUAGGUAGUUGGUGGGGUAAAGGCCUACCAAGCCGACGAUCCAUAGCUGGUCUGAGAGGAUGAUCAGCCACACUGGGACUGAGACACGGCCCAGACCCCUCGGGGAGGAGGCAGGGGGGAAUAUUGGAAAAGGGGCGAAAGCCUUACCCACCAAUGCCGGGUGAGGGAUGAAGGCCCGGGGUUUGAAACCCCCUUUUCCCCGGGAAGAAAAUGACGUUCCCGGGAAAAAAAGCCCCGCUAAACUCCGU
rnacentral:rRNA from 1 species